AACGUAAUGUUGAGUUUGGUGUGCCAAUAUUUUGUUGAGGAUUUUGCAUCUGUAUUCAUUGGCCUGUAAUUUUCUUUUUUCUUCCUUCAUUUCCUUCUAUUUUAUAUAUAUAUUUAAAUUGAACAUAAUGCUUGCUUCCUAAAAUGAGUUUGUAGUGUGGCUUCCCAUUUCAUUUUUGGAGUAUUUUUUAGAAUCAUUGACAGUAAUUCUUUUUUUCUUUUAAAUUUGUCCAAUUAUUUCUUUUAUUUUUUGCCUUUUUAUUUAUUUUUUUAAUUUUUAUUUUUACUUUAUUUUACUUUACAAUACUGUAUUGGUUUCGACAUACAUUGACCUGAAUCCACCACGGAUGUACAUGCGAUCCAAACAUGAACCCCCCUCCCACCUCCCUCCCCAUAACAUCUUUCUGGGUCAUCCCCAUGCACCAGCCCCAAGCAUGCUGCAUCCUGCGUCAGACAUAGACUGGCGAUUCAAUUCACAUGAUAGUAUACAUGUUAGAAUGUCAUUCUCCCAAAUCAUCCCACCCUCUCCCUCUCCCUCUGAGUCCAAAAGUCCGUUAUACACAUCUGUGUCUUUUUUCCUGUCUUGCAUACAGGGUCGUCAUUGCCAUCUUCCUAAAUUCCAUAUAUAUGUGUUAGUAUACUGUAUUGGUAUGCAAGACAGGGAAAGAGACACAGAUGUGUAUAACGGACUUUUGGACUCAGAGGGAGAGGGAGAGGGUGGGAUGAUUUGGGAGAAUGACAUUCUAACAUGUAUACUAUCAUUUGAAUUGAAUCGCCAGUCUAUGUCUGAUGCAGGAUGCAGCAUGCUUGGGGCUGGUACAUGGGGAUGACCCAGAAAGAUGUUAUGGGGAGGGAGGUGGGAGGGGGGUUCAUGUUUGGGAAUGCAUGUAAGAAUUAAAGAUUUUAAAAUUUAAAAAAUAAAAAACUAAAAUUAAAAAAAAGAAAAAGAAAAAAAAAAAAGAAAACAUCCCAUGCCUCUCACAGUUGGGAGGCUGUAAUCAAUCACAUGUGGCCGGACAAGCCUGAUCAGGCAGGCCAGAGAACCUUCAGAGUUCGUAAGUUGAAAUGUUCUUGUCAUGCCCAGGAAUUUUUAUUAACUGGAGCUGCAAGUUAACUCCUUCUCUGAGAGAAAUGGUUAUGGGGGCGAGCUCCCCAUAAAGUACUCUGGUUUUGGGGGUAGAUGCUCAGGAACAGGGGGUUUCCUGAAGCUUGAUCACGCCUUUGCGUAUGCCAAGCUUCCUUCCUCAUGCCCUUUGCUAUGGGCGGAGUUCCUCAUGCUGGCCCCCGGCACUGGGGUUUCAGUCUAUUGCCUGGUUCUUUUCUUUAAUUUUUUUGCUUCUUAUUUUCCUUCUUAUAUGGUCUACCAUAAUAUACAGUCUGAGCCAGCUGCAACAGUUUUUUAAAGAUGGAUUUGGUCCAAAUGUCUGUUUUCAUAAAUUACAUCAGAUAUCUGGAUGUAAGAGUGAGAAAUCUAUCUUAUAAGAUCAUUUCUCCUGCACUUUCAAGAUCAUUAGUAAACUUGUGGAGAGCCUCCCAUAAUCUAUCUAGGAAUUUACCAGGAAUGUCCUUCUCUCCCUGCUGUAUGUCAGCCAACUUGUCAUAGUUUAAAGUCUUAGCAUGCAUUUGCUUAAGUCCUUCAAGAAUACAUAUGACAAAGUGACUCUUAUUGGAACCGCUUGGCUCCCAGUAGGAAGGAGGGAUAUUUUGUGUUCCCUCUUUUCCCUUGUUUCACAUUCAAGCCAUUUAUCUCCAAAAGUAGUAGCUUCCCUCAGAAUUAGAGCUCUCAAGUCAGGAGUCAGCAUCUGCCCUAAGA
rnacentral:lncRNA from 1 species